CUACAGUGAUGUUUCAAUUGAACUCUCUCACUGAAAUCUUUUGUGGAAAACAUAACUCAAACUCUGAGUAGC